rnacentral:misc_RNA from 1 species
UUGGUGGGUUGCUCUAUUUUGCGGCUGGGAAUUAGAAUUGAUUUGGGUUUUAAUCAGCUGGGAUCAUUGCUUGCUUUUCCCCUAUUAUUUUCUCAUUUAUUUUACUGAAGGGUUUCUGGGCGGUUAAUUUUUUUGCUGCUUAUUUGAUUUUGGGAGUGUAUUUUGUUAUAUGAUGCUCUGGGUUUGGGAAAUCCCUCUUAAAUUUGAUGCUAGUUUGAGCUCUAAUGGUGUUAUUGGACCCGAUGAGGUUCUUCUGAA